UCCAAAUUAAUUAUCUUUAUAUAUAUUUUCUUCCAUUACAAAAAGCGAAAAAUAUUAAAAUAUGUGUAAAAUUUUAACAAAAUUCACGAGAAUUUUCUAUGAAUAAUUUUUCAAUAUAUCAUAGCGUUUUUCUUCUUCACAACUCCCCAUCAAAUUCUUGGCUAGAAGUCCUUUCUAAAAUUUUGAUUUCUUGGAUCCUCUUAUAGCACUUUUAAGCAAUCUAGUAGAGCAAUGAAACCACAAAGAAAAAGCAUUUGGUGAUAGACUACAUCGUGAAAAAUGACUUAACAAACACAAAAGGAGAAAUUGAAAAUAAGUACUGGCUAAACCACAAAAAACUACGUAUGACAGAGGAGACAAUAAUAAUAUCAAAAUCAUGAAUGUCUUGACAUUAGAGGACCUUUGUACUUCCUUCUGAAAUGCAUGCAUGGUUUUUCUCCUUGAAAUCUUUUCAUACCUUUUGAAGAAGUAAUAAAGUAAAGUUGACAAUUUUGUCUUCUCAAGAGGUGUGAAUAUUGCAUCAAAUCCUACCAACAUAUUGCAAAUGUCAAAAAGGGCUCAAGAAUUUUAACCUAAAAACAGAAAUUUCAAAACCUUUUAUGAAAUGGCGAUUAACAAACAAAACCUUUUGAAAAAAGAAAAAGAGAUACAUGUUAUUGAUCAUCAUUUUUUCAACAAAUGUAAGAAUUUCAUAUGUGUUCAUUAUAUUGUUGUUCUCCAAAUUAUCUUUAUCCCGCUGAGCAUGUUAGGCAUUUGAGCACAAGGGACUAAAAGAUUACAACGGAUUAAAUGGAAAAUUUGGUAAUUAAAAGAUUUAAGUGAGAUGUAAGUUACAAUUGUGGAAGUAUAUAAUGAAAGUUAAAACUUAAAAUUAAAUGAAAGAAAAGGCCUCAUCAGUUUCUUCCCUAUAAAGUCAAAAAUCCUAUUGUGCAAUAAGUAAUCUCUUUAUGCUGGCGUUAAAUUAGGCUUUUGUUCAUGAAUUAAGCAAAAUGAGGUUAAAAGUUAAAAAAAAAGGACAAAAAAAUAAAUACUAAUGCUUGGCAUAGAGAGGUGUUAACUUCCUUCACCGCGAGCUUAAGUGUAAAUUUGCCUUUUCCGACCUUAAAAAGUUCAGUAAUUAUUUGAUAGUAAGGCUUCAUCUUGUAUCAUUUUGUAACUCAAUGAGUUACAACAUGUCCUUUGUUAAGAAGCAUAAAAGGCUUGUAGUUGGUUGUUUUGAAAUCGUUACUCUUCUAAUUUCUCCCAAUUGUAAUUCUACAUGCAAUUCUUCAAUUUUUCUUGUCCUUCUUGCCUUUCAGAAGAAGAAUCAGUUAAAGAAAAAAAGAAAGAGACAACAGAAAAGAAAUAGAGCAAGGUCAAAUACUUUAGAGUUUAGAAUUAAGCGUAAUAUAUUACACAUAUGCGUAAAAUAUUUUCUUGUAAAUGAAAAAAAUCCGCGAAACCUUAAAUAUAGAAAAGCUCACAUGGAAAAUAUUUGAAAAAUGGAGAAGGUUUGAUGCCAUAAAACAUCCAUAGAUGUACAUUUUAUAGUUGAUAAAUUGCAAUUAUAGUGGACAAUGAAAGGUUAAUCGGUUAUAAUACUAAUAUAUAUAAGUGGCUUAAAGCAGACAAAAGACGAUUGUCCCGUCAGCUUAGGCCAAGGGCAAUUUUGUCAUUUUUCAUAUUUCGUCCACCACACAGCCCUUCUGAGGACAUUUAUGUCAUUUGACAACAAUCUCAAUCACCGCAAAAACCUAGAUUCAAUGCCGACAUAGAUGGUGGUGGAGAUGGAGGAGAAGUUGACGAAAAUGAAACUUCUAAAUCUGAAUCUAAAGCUCACAUGAAUAAAAUUAGGACAAAGAAGACAUCCCAUCCGUUGUUGCUUCAGACCUCGAUUGCAACGAAGGUUUCAAAUAGGCUACGUCUCCAAAUUCACAACCACCUUGGUGUUAUGUGUGGUGGCUCUGAACAAAGUUUUGAUUCUUCCAAACACAAGCUCACACUAGCUAAUUCGCAAACCUAUGUUAAAGAACGAGCUCAAAGCUAAGUAGAUGAACAAAACCCAGAUAACAAAAUAUUGCCUAAGAAAUCAAUCGCCAGGAAAUCAAUCGCCAGCAUGAAAACUAUAACAUAAGAAGAUGAAAUAAAAAUUUCACAUCCAAAUUAAAGUAAUAUGGCUUGCGUCUCUACUGAAAAUUGCGAGUUGCUGAGUAAGAUUUCAGAAACAAAAGUGCUGAGGAGGCUAAAAUGAUAAAUUUUCAUAGCAAUUGCAGAAAUCAAUUGGUACUAGCUAAGGAUUAAUGAAAGUUUGAAUGGGACAAAGGAGUAAAAUUGAGAGCUUACAGUGGUCGGCGUCUCGGCGGAAAAAAAAAAGGAAUAUAGCAUAUAGAAAAAGGGGGAGGAUGAACAAGAGCGCGCUCCAUUCAUUUUACUAUUUAGAAAAAAUAAUACAGAAAAUAAAUAAAAUUUUUGAAUCUGGAUGUCUUAAUUAAAGUAGUAUCAAAUAUAUCAAAAUAUCUUUUAAAUUUGUGGUCAAUGUGAAAAGUUAAAAUUAAAAUAUUAUUAAAAAGAAAAAGAGAUAAUUUUUUUAAAACGAAUAAG
rnacentral:lncRNA from 1 species